UUCUUUGCCCACCGUGUCAGAUCCUGCUGAGCUACACUCUGAGAAGUGCUUCCUACAAUGAAGAGGUUACAGUCUAAAUGGACAAAACAGAACAAAAUAAAGCACACAAUGUCUUGCACAGAGCAGUGACAAAGGCAGAACUAGUUUUUACAGGAUCUUUGAUUUCAGCCUGAAAGGAACCAUCUUCAACUGCUGUCGCUCAUGGAAAGAGGACUCCAGGCAUCCCACAGACUGCACACCAGAAAAUGAUCCCUACUACAAAGGAGAAGUUUGCCAGCAGUUUUGUUACCGGAGAGCUCUCUAACAUCAACGUGGAAGGGGAAACAAGACUACGACAGCCCAUUUCCAGGUAAAGCUGUUUCCCUCCAAAGAGGAAAAGGAAAACUGGUUAAACCGCGACAACGCUGUAAUUAGUCCAUUUUCUAUUCUGGAGUAACCCAACUGUCCAUGGUGCUUUAAUUAAGCUUUGGGAUAAAAAACCCCUACGGGUUUUGUGUAGUGUUCCUUAAACCUGACAAAAGAAGCUCAGUAAGGUGUUUACUCAAUGGGCUAAAAGGAAGCAUGAGAACCUCAGGCAUGCCUGGUGAGUGGUCUACUCAGUUACAGAUUAAAUCAGCAGCAGUUUUGGUGGGACAGUGCUCUCAGGACUUUGGAGAGCACUGAAAGGCCUACAGCAAGUAUACGUGAGAGACAAAAUGUUCACGUUCGUUUCUCCUUGCUUGGACGUUUUCAUAGUAACUGGACAAGACCCUGAGUGAUGCUGCAAGGGCUGACUCUGAGCAGGGAUUUGCGCUACAGCCCUCUAGAGGUCUGCUCCAACCUCAGCUUUUAUAGACCUGUGAAUUUAAAACCGAACAGUAAAAAGUCACCCCUGCCUGUACUUGCACCGUGUUUAUUCCUGUAGUGUUCAGCAAGGACACCAGUGAGGGAGGGAAGCUUGCAGAAAUCUUUACAAAUCAGCUAGUGAGCACUCUUCCAAAAUGACCAAAAUACGGUUUAUGCACAUAGAGUAUACAAAAUCUGGGUACAUCCAUGAGGUUUGGUGCUCCUCAGUAGCAAAGGGACUGUUAGAAGAGCUACUGGAAUCACUGCGACCUUCUGAAAAUAUAAUGACUGCUGGAGCUUUGUGAAACUAUAAUAGUGGAUUUCCAUUAUAGC